rnacentral:lncRNA from 1 species
GGCUGUUGUUGUUUAGUAGAGUGAGUGAGAAAUGAGAGCAAAGUUGCGUUGCUGAGCCCGGAAUUUCAAAAUGUAGCUUUUAAAGCAAUAAUGUUCAUUCUUCAGAGUUAACCUUAUCCUUUAAGUGUGGCCUAGCACAGAAUCAAUAUAAGUCUUGCUAUAUGGUUUGACUUCAUUGGAAAACUAUUGGAAGGACGAUUAAACCACAUUUUCAGCAAUCAUCUUUUUUUAGCAGACCAUCCCGAAAAAUCCAACAACUUAAGAUGAUCACCUAUUUCCGGUAGAGCAAUCUGUUUUUCAUAAAUAUUAAACCUAAAUGAAAAUAAAAAGUUUUAAUGGAAUGUUUA